ACUACUUUGGCAGAAUGUAUGCAUUAGAUUUAGGAUCUAACUAAAUAGAAUUUAAGGUCUAUAAGUAG
rnacentral:tRNA from 1 species